CCUACGGGAGGCAGCAGUGAGGAAUAUUGGGCAAUGGACGCAAGUCUGAACCAGCCAUGCCGCGUGCAGGAAGACGGCUCUCUGAGUUGUAAACUGCUUUUGUACGGGGGUAAACUCAGAUACGCGUAUCUGUCUGAAUGUAUCGUACGAGUAAGGAUCGGCUAACUCCGUGCCAGCAGCCGCGGUAAUACGGAGGAGUCAAGCGUUGUCCGGAUUUAUUGGGUUUAAAGGGUGCGUAGGCGGUCGGAUAAGUUAGAGGUGAAAUCCCGAGGCUCAACUUCGGAAUUGCCUCUGAUACUGUUAGGCUAGAGAGUAGUUGCGGUAGGCGGAAUGUAUGGUGUAGCGGUGAAAUGCUUAGAGAUCAUACAGAACACCGAUUGCGAAGGCAGCUUACCAAGAUACGUCUGACGUUGAGGAACGAAAGCGUGGGGAGCAAACAGGAUUAGAUACCCUUGUAGUC
rnacentral:rRNA from 1 species